GUCAACAGGAUGUGAGGGAUGAAUACAAACUCGAAGCGACAGCAGAGCACAACAAAGUGAAAAGCAAUAGAACAAAAACACGUCUCUGAGAAAACCCGAGAAGCCUCUUUAAUGAAGCUGACGAUUCGAUGUCAAUAAUGAUGAGGUCCAAACACUUCAAAGUGGAGCUCCCCUUUGUCUGAAUGAAGCAGGCUCUGGAUGUGUUUCCUAACUUUAUCACUCAGCUCCCAAAGCGGUCACACCGCAGGGAUUUAAACUAUUUACCCACAAAUUACAGGAGCCAGGAUGUCCGCUGACUUAAAGGCCACAAAUGGAAAGAUUUACUCACUCGAGGCAAAACUCUUCCCCCUUCCCGUUGGCAGAAGGUGUCACCGCCGGAUAAUCACUCCAAACAGUUGUUUCUGGACGUAUGAGCUCCUUGGGCUACAGGAAGUCUUCACAUCCACGUCCAAUCGCAGGAGUGCCUUGACAAUUCUUGUCCUGCCUGCAAACAUCCAAUAACCUGAACCUCUAAAUGAAUUUCAUGCAGUGUCCAGUGUGUUAAAUGUGACCGUCGCAUGGCUGCAGACGUCAUCUCAGCAUCACACGCUGCUUUUUAACAGAAUUAUGAUAAACACUGAGUGACACGUGUCAUAGUUUAAGAGGAAUAAGCCUCUGAGCAUGCAUCAGGACAUGACAGGUGUUUUUUUAGGUUCAGUCUCAUAUUGACUCUUUCAUAUGGAAAAUCUUAUAAAGAAUGUGAGUCUAACCCUAAAUUAAUCACUGGAGACCUGGUGGAUGUUUUAAGCUAAGAGAGGAAAAAUGUAAUCCUAAUAAAAUGACUUGUGUUACUGUUCUGCACGUCCUUGUUGUGUAUUGGCAUCAUGCACUCUGAUCAUUUUUGCAAAGACUUUCUUUAAAUGUUGGUGGUUGAAUACUUUCAUCACUCACUCAUUCACAG
ensembl:lncRNA